GUCCCUGUAGCGUAAUGGAUUACGCGUUGGACUUCUAAUUCUAAUGUCGUGGAUUCGAAUCCCACCUGGGAUG